AAGGCCUUAGCUUAAUUAAAGUGUUUGAAUUGCAAUCAUGUGAUGUAUCUUAGUGUGAUACAGGUCUUUC
rnacentral:tRNA from 1 species